AAAUUGAAGAGUUUGAUCAUGGCUCAGAUUGAACGCUGGCGGCAGGCUUAACACAUGCAAGUCGAACGGUAGCACAGAGAGCUUGCUCUCGGGUGACGAGUGGCGGACGGGUGAGUAAUGUCUGGGAAACUGCCUGAUGGAGGGGGAUAACUACUGGAAACGGUAGCUAAUACCGCAUAAUGUCGCAAGACCAAAGAGGGGGACCUUCGGGCCUCUUGCCAUCAGAUGUGCCCAGAUGGGAUUAGCUAGUAGGUGGGGUAACGGCUCACCUAGGCGACGAUCCCUAGCUGGUCUGAGAGGAUGACCAGCCACACUGGAACUGAGACACGGUCCAGACUCCUACGGGAGGCAGCAGUGGGGAAUAUUGCACAAUGGGCGCAAGCCUGAUGCAGCCAUGCCGCGUGUAUGAAGAAGGCCUUCGGGUUGUAAAGUAC
rnacentral:rRNA from 1 species